rnacentral:lncRNA from 1 species
GGAGCUUCCCCCCUGGGCCGCGGAGCCGGCCGCUGGAGCUCCACCCAGCCCCAGUCCUCUCCCAGGAAUUCUCCAGUAGUCCUGAGCCCCGCCCAUCAGUCAGUGGGGCCGGCAGCGGCAACUGGCGGGCAGCCGCGCCAUCUGGGAUUCUCUCCAGGACCCUCCCGGCACCGUGGUAGCUAGGUGGGGCCUCCCCACCAAUGGCAGGCAGAGGCUCUCCCCGCGGACUCAGAACACAGCAAAGAUGAAACAAUCCUCAUCUUUUUCUAAACUGUGAACAUAAACCUGAUCCCACAUUGGAAAAAAUCAACAGCAUAAAGAGGAAAACGUAUAGGUUAAUCUCACUCAUAAACAAAGAAGCAAAAUCUCCGUUAAAAUGUUAGCAGAUUAAACUGUUCUUACAGAGCAGUAGGUCCGGACCAAGAAGGGUUUGUCCAAGCCGUUCAAGGAUAGUUCAACAAAAGGAAAUCUGUUAACAUUAUUCAGCAUGUUACUAAGGUGGAAACAAACAAAAUAACCUUGUAAUCUCCUGAAUGGAUGGCUGAAAACACACUUGAGAAGCUGUAGAACUCUUCCCCAGGAGCAACUGCUGAGUGCGGACCUUGAAAAGUCUGCUUUUUCAUAGGCAGCCAAACUGCAGUCACGAGGAGAUGGAGCUCCCACUGUGGCAGAGAGAAGGGACCUUAGAACUUUAUGACACUGGAGAGUCCCUGAGUCAACCACUUCUGAAGCUGUCUUCGCUUGGACCUCCAGUUACGUAUUUUACUUGUUUUUAAGCGGGGCUGGGUUGGGCUUUCUCUUAUGUGCACUGUGAAGCUCCUGAGUGAUACAGAAUGACAAUUAUUCUCUGUAAUUUCCUGUGCAAGACUUUUACUUCCCUUUCUGUGGAUGCCCCCUCACUUACGAUCUUAAAGUCACAAAUCUCUCAAACUAUUUCUUGCUUUGAAUGGCUGCUUUUACAUAGUGUCUUUAAG